rnacentral:lncRNA from 1 species
CGGACCACCCGAGUGAAUAGUCCUCGCGCCGGUGGGACACGGCGGUGAGUGCUUUCCCCUCGCCUCCAGCCUCCAGGAGGUUCCCGGCGCCUCAGGCAGCUGCAGCUUCGAAGCGGCUGCCACCGCACCUGGGCAGCCUGGACCCUCGUGCCCUGCUCCCGAGGCCUUGCGCGGUGGGCGCCCCGGGACACCCCUGCGGGCCGGGUGGAGGAGGAGAAAGAAGAAUAAGAGGAAGACGUGGACCAGGAUCCCCAACCUCCCCACAACACCUGGCCUCUCCGCUUCCACUUCUUUCACACAAGGAGAGAGGAGCCAGCAAGAGCCAUGGGGGGCUGCGAAGUCCGAGAAUUUCUUUGGCAAUUUGGAUUCUUUUUGCCUCUGAGGACAGCUUGGCCGGGCUACUGUAGUCACGUCUCCAACAACCAAGUGGACUUACCUGCUGAAAGGAAGAUUCCCUGGGGAGACACAUCAUCAGUGACUAAAUUGACCUUCACAUGUAUGGACUGGUCUUCUCUAUGCCUGAUUAAUGGUUGUAUUGCUUGAUACAACUACUGUGCUGGAUGAACUAGGAUGGAAGACGUAUCCAUUAAAUGGGGUAAGUUUACGUAUGUUAAAAAUGAAAAAGACAAAUUCUCAUCCUCAUUAGGUUUUAGGGACUUGGGAUAAAUGAAAAAACAGAUUUUUGGUACUCUCUUAUAUGCUUUUUGGUAUAAAGUUUAAAAUCAUGUGAAAAGAUCAAACUAUAAAUGACAAGUUGAUGGGACUUAUAUGUAAACAUUCUGUUUUCUUCUAUAUUAUAGUAACUGUUGUGUUUUACACAUAGUAAUGUUAGAAUUCUGCUUAUACAAAUUUUCCUCAGAAAUAAAUUUCGAUAUGUAAUAUCAGGACAU